rnacentral:rRNA from 1 species
UACGUAGGGGGCAAGCGUUGUCCGGAAUCAUUGGGCGUAAAGCGCGUGUAGGCGGUCCGGUAAGUCCGCUGUGAAAGUCGGGGGCUCAACCCUCGGAUGCCGGUGGAUACUGUCGGGCUUGAGUACGGAAGAGGCGAGUGGAAUUCCUGGUGUAGCGGUGAAAUGCGCAGAUAUCAGGAGGAACACCGGUGGCGAAGGCGGCUACCUGGACCGGUACUGACGCUGAGGCGCGAAAGCUAGGGUAGCAAACAGG